rnacentral:rRNA from 1 species
GGAUCCAGACUUUGAUUCUGGCUCAGGAUGAACGCUAGCUACAGGCUUAACACAUGCAAGUCGAGGGGAAACGAUAGAGAAAGCUUGCUUUUUCUAGGCGUCGACCGGCGCACGGGUGAGUAACGCGUAUCCAACCUGCCCAUCACUUGGGGAUAACCUUGCGAAAGUAAGACUAAUACCCAAUGAUAUCUCUAGAAGACAUCUGAAGGAGAUUAAAGAUUUAUCGGUGAUGGAUGGGGAUGCGUCUGAUUAGCUUGUUGGCGGGGUAACGGCCCACCCAGGCGACGAUCAGUAGGGGUUCUGAGAGGAAGGUCCCCCACAUUGGAACUGAGACACGGUCCAAACUCCUACGGGAGGCAGCAGUGAGGAAUAUUGGUCAAUGGGCGAGAGCCUGAACCAGCCAAGUAGCGUGCAGGAUGACGGCCCUAUGGGUUGUAAACUGCUUUUAUAAGGGAAUAAAGUGAGUCUCGUGAGACUUUUUGCAUGUACCUUAUGAAUAAGGACCGGCUAAUUCCGUGCCAGCAGCCGCGGUAAUACGGAAGGUCCGGGCGUUAUCCGGAUUUAUUGGGUUUAAAGGGAGCGUAGGCCGGAGAUUAAGCGUGUUGUGAAAUGUAGAUGCUCAACAUCUGCACUGCAGCGCGAACUGGUUUCCUUGAGUACGCACAAAGUGGGCGGAAUUCGUGGUGUAGCGGUGAAAUGCUUAGAUAUCACGAAGAACUCCGAUUGCGAAGGCAGCUCACUGGAGCGCAACUGACGCUGAAGCUCGAAAGUGCGGGUAUCGAACAGGAUUAGAUACCCUGUUAGUCCGCACGGUAAACGAUGGAUGCCCGCUGUUGGUCUGAAUAGGUCAGCGGCCAAGCGAAAGCAUUAAGCAUCCCACCUGGGGAGUACGCCGGCAACGGUGCAACUCAAAGGAAUUGACGG